rnacentral:rRNA from 1 species
GACUACAGGGGUAUCUAAUCCUGUUUGCUCCCCACGCUUUCGUGCCUGAACGUCGGUGCUGGACCAGGAAGCCGCUUUCGCCACUGGUGUUCCUUCCGAUAUCUACGCAUUUCACCGCUACACCGGAAAUUCCGCUUCCCUCUUCCGCACCCUAGCCAUCCAGUAUCGAAUGCAAUUCCCAGGUUGAGCCCGGGGAUUUCACAUCCGACUUAGAUGACCGUCUACGCACGCUUUACGCCCAGUAAUUCCGAUUAACGCUCGCACCCUCUGUAUUACCGCGGCUGCUGGCACAGAGUUAGCCGGUGCUUUUUCUUUGGGUUAGGUCAAGACCCAGGGGUAUUAGCCCUGAGCUUUUCAUCCCCACUAAAAGUGCUUUACAACCCGCAGGCCUUCUUCACACACGCGGCGUCGCUGGAUCAGGGUUUCCCCCAUUGUCCAAUAUUCCCCACUGCAGCCACCCGUAGG